CCGGCUAUUUAAUAUACUAGAUAUAAAUUAAAUUAUUAAUAUAUAUUAGUAAUUAUUAAAAUAAAUAUCUAAAAAAUAUAUUACACAUAUAUAAUAAAUGUUUGUUUAAAUUUACACUUUUGGUCCUCUUCAAACUUUAAAUUAUUAUAAUUUUUUAUUUGAACUUUCUGAAUUUCUGAAUUAUUACAAUCAAAUCUCGCAGCUAAAUUUAGUUGGCUUGGCAAAUUGUUGACAUGGGAAUAAUAAAAUAUAUUAAUUAUUAUCGCAUCGUCAACCACAAUACUUAUACAUUAUAUCUACAUUAACAAUUUAUCAAUAUUUAGCUAAUUAGAGUAGGUUGUGUAAUUUUAUUAGAACAAACCAAAAAA
rnacentral:lncRNA from 1 species